rnacentral:rRNA from 1 species
CCAGACUCCUACGGGAGGCAGCAGUAGGGAAUUUUCGUCAAUGGGCGCAAGUCUGAACCAGCCAUGCCGCGUGCAGGAUGACGGCUCUAUGAGUUGUAAACUGCUUUUGUACGAGGGUAAACCCCGAUACGUGUAUCGGGUUGAAAGUAUCGUACGAAUAAGGAUCGGCUAACUCCGUGCCAGCAGCCGCGGUAAUACGGAGGAUCCGAGCGUUAUCCGGAUUUAUUGGGUUUAAAGGGUGCGUAGGCGGUUUGAUAAGUUAGAGGUGAAAUGUCGGGGCUCAACCCCGAAACUGCCUCUAAUACUGUUGGACUAGAGACGGCGAGAAGUACGCGGAAUGCGCGGUGUAGCGGUGAAAUGCAUAGAUAUCGCGCAGAACUCCGAUUGCGAAGGCAGCGUACCGGCGCCGGACUGACGCUGAGGCACGAAAGCGUGGGUAUCGAACAGGAUUAGAUACCCCCGUAU